rnacentral:rRNA from 1 species
UACGUAGGGUGCAAGCGUUAUCCGGAAUUAUUGGGCGUAAAGAGCUCGUAGGCGGUUUGUCGCGUCUGCUGUGAAAACCUAAGGCUCAACCUUGGGCUUGCAGUGGGUACGGGCAGACUAGAGUGCGGUAGGGGAGAUCGGAAUUCCUGGUGUAGCGGUGAAAUGCGCAGAUAUCAGGAGGAACACCGGUGGCGAAGGCGGAUC